AGGGACAGUGUAGAGGGAAUGAGGGUUUGGGCCCAUUAGGGACAGUGUAGAGGGAAUGAGGGAAGGAAUAGGGGGCCAUUAGGGACAGUAUAGAGGGAAUGAGGGUUUGGGGCCAUUAGGGACAGUGUAGAGGGAAUGAGGGAAGGAAUAAGGGGCCAUUAGGGACAGUAUAGAGGGAAUGACGGAAGGAAUAGGGGGCCAUUAGGGACAGUAUAGAGGGAAUGAGGGUUUGGGGCCAUUAGGGACAGUGUAGAGGGAAUGAGGGUUUGGGCCCAUUAGGGACAGUGUAGAGGGAAUGAGGGAAGGAAUAGGGGGCCAUUAGGGACAGUAUAGAGGGAAUGAGGGAAGGAAUAAGGGGCCAUUAGGGACAGUAUAGAGGGAAUGAGGGUUUGGGGCCAUUAGGGACAGUAUAGAGGGAAUGAGGGUUUGGGGCAAUUAGGGACAGUAUAGAGGGAAUGAGGGUGUGGGGCCAUUAGGGACAGUAUAGAGGGAAUGAGGGAAGGAAUAGGGGGCCAUUAGGGACAGUAUAGAGGGAAUGAGGGUUUGGGGCCAUUACAGACAGUCUAGAGCAUGGGUGUCAAACUCUGGCCCGUGGGCCAAAUUUGGCCCGGGGUAAUUAUAUUUGGCCCGCGAGACAAUACCAAAUUACUACUAGAGCUGGCCCGCCGGUAUUAUACAGCGCAUUCACCACUA